AUGCUUGGCGGCGAGGUCUCGGAGGGAGACGUGCGGGAGGGAACCGACGAGGUGCAGGUGGCCGAUGACGGGGAGCCUGCUCGGAGGAGACGGCAGCCUGCCCAGCAGCUCUUCUCUGGCUCUCGCGGUGGCCGCGGCCGUCGACGGCGUUGCGAGGCGGCGCACGAGCAGGAGGAGAAGAAGAGGGCAGACGAGCAGGACAAAGACCAGUCCUAG
rnacentral:rRNA from 1 species